UGCUGACGCGAGGGCGUAUACUUAAGCAGAACCAAAACUGCUGAAGCGAAGCAGUGUGCCAAGAAGCCGGUAGUGGAUUUACCGGCAUUGUAAUGGCGUUUGCUCAUUGAGGAGUGCCUCAAACCAAAAAAAACAUAAGCAAAACCCUUUGCAUUUGCAGCGCAUUUCAGGUAAACAAAUUUGGAAAGGAACGCUCGUGAACCACCACGGGCGUUUUCUU
rnacentral:ncRNA from 1 species